GACGUAGGGCGCAAGCGUUGUCCGGAUUUAUUGGGCGUAAAGAGCUCGUAGGCGGCUUGUCGCGUCGACUGUGAAAACCCGCGGCUUAACUGUGGGACUGCAGUCGAUACGGGCUAGCUAGAGUUCGGUAGGGGAGACUGGAAUUCCUGGUGUAGCGGUGAAAUGCGCAGAUAUCAGGAGGAACACCGGUGGCGAAGGCGGGUCUCUGGGCCGAGACUGACGCUGAGGAGCGAAAGCGAGGGGAGCGAACAGG
rnacentral:rRNA from 1 species